ACCCGCUGAACUUAAGCAUAUCAGUAAGCGGAGGAAGAGAAACUAACUAGGAUUCCCCCAGUAAGGGCGACUGAAGCGGGAAUAGCUCAGGAUGAAAAUCAAGUUUCGGCUUGAAUUGUAGUCUUGAGAGGUUCUACCAGUGCCUGAUUCGGUGUAAGUCUCUUGGAAAAGAGCGCGAGCAAGGGUGAGAGCCCCUUCUGGCACUGUAUUCAGGCACGUACGGUGUUCCUUCAACGAGUCACGUUCCUUGGGACUGGAGCGCAAACGGGUGGUAAAUUUCAUCCAAAGCUAAAUAUGGGCUCAAGACCGAUAGCAUAAAAGUACCAUGAGGGAAGGGUGAAAAGGACUUUGGAAAGAGAGUUAAAAGUGCCUGAAGUCGCUGAAAGGGAAGCGCUUGGAACCAGUCCUGCCCUUUAAGAUUGUCACGUGGUAGCGUUAUCGCUUUUGUCGUCAGGGCAACCGUCGGCGGGGGUGGAGAGCGUCAUCUGCGGGGUGUUUCUUGAAGGUGCUUGUCAGCUUGAUUUGGCGCGAGGGGAGAACUCCGGUGGGGAGCCUUCGGGUAUCUGCUGAGAGAACCCUUGUGCUGAGUGAGGCUAGCCGGUUAGCUCUACUACGGGGAAGCCGCGUUCGGGGAGUUUGGAAAGCUUGCUCGCCUGAUUCCCUAGGGUGUGGUGGACUUGUAGACGAAGCCGGCAGAAGCUGACGAAAUGGUUCCAACCGACCCGUCUUGAAACACGGACCAAGGAGUCUAACAUGUGUGCGAGUAUGCGGGUGGCAAACCUGUAUGCGCAAUGAAAGUAAUAGAUGGGAAUUUGCACCAUCGACCGACCUUAAGGUUCUCCGAGAGGUUUGAGUUUGAGCAUACCUGUUAGGACCCGAAAGAUGGUGAACUAUGCCUGAGUAGGGUGAAGCCAGGGGAAACUCUGGUGGAGGCUCGUAGCGAUACUGACGUGCAAAUCGUUCGUCAAACUUGGGUAUAGGGGCGAAAGACUAAUCGAACCAUCUAGUAGCUGGUUCCCUCCGAAGUUUCCCUCAGGAAAGG
rnacentral:rRNA from 1 species